GGGCCCGCACAAGCGGUGGAGGAUGUGGUUCAAUUCGAUGCAACGCGAAAAACCUUACCUGGGCUUGACAUACCGCGCUACCCUAUGAAAGUAGGGGUUCCCUUCGGGGACGCGGAUACAGGUGCUGCAUGGCUGUCGUCAGCUCGUGUCGUGAGAUGUUGGGUUAAGUCCCGCAACGAGCGCAACCCUUGCCAUUAGUUGCCAGCAUUAAGUUGGGCACUCUAAUGGGACCGCUUGCCGAUAAGGCAGAGGAAGGUGGGGAUGACGUCAAGUCCGCAUGGCCCUUACGUCCAGGGCCACACACGUCCUACAAUGACCGGCACAAAGCGAUGCUAAGCCGCGAGGCAGAGCUAACCGCAGAAAACCGGCCUAAGUUCGGAUUGGAGUCUGCAACUCGACUCCAUGAAGUUGGAAUCGCUAGUAAUCGUGGAUCAGCAUGCCACGGUGAAUACGUUCCCGGGCCUU
rnacentral:rRNA from 1 species